rnacentral:rRNA from 1 species
UACGUAGGGGGCUAGCGUUGUUCGGAUUCAUUGGGCGUAAAGGGUGUGUAGGUGGCGCGCUAAGUCGGGUGUGAAAUUUCGGAGCUUAACUCUGAAACUGCAUUCGAUACUGGCGUGCUUGAGGACUGGAGAGGAGACUGGAAUUCAUGGUGUAGCAGUGAAAUGCGUAGAGAUCAUGAGGAAGACCAGUGGCGAAGGCGGGUCUCUGGACAGUUCCUGAC